AACGAACGCUGGCGGCAGGCCUAACACAUGCAAGUCGAGCGAGGACUUCGGUCCUAGCGGCGGACGGGUGAGUAACGCGUGGGAACGUGCCCUUUUCUUCGGAAUAGCCCUGGGAAACUGGGAGUAAUACCGGAUGAGCCCUUUGGGGGAAAGAUUUAUCCGCGAAGGAUCGGCCCGCGUUGGAUUAGGUAGUUGGUGGGGUAAUGGCCUACCAAGGCGACGAUCCAUAGCUGGGUUGAGAGGAUGAUCAGCCACACUGGGACUGAGACACGGCCCAGACUCCUACGGGAGGCAGCAGUGGGGAAUCUUAGACAAUGGGGGAAACCCUGAUCGAGCCAUGCCGCGUGAGCGAUGAAGGCCUUAGGGUUGUACAGCUCUUUCAGCUGGGAAGAUAAUGACGGUACCAGCAGAAGAAGCCCCGGCUAACUCCGUG
rnacentral:rRNA from 1 species